CAAAACUAUAGUCACAAAUAAUGCAAAUCUUGUGAAAAGACAAUGUUUUUUAAAUCCUAAAUCACUUAGAAGCUGUUAAAAAAUCACUUUAUUUUUGUCCAUAGUGUAAGACAGUGUCUGAGCAGUAAUUUUAACUCUUUAGCUCUUCUAAAAAUACACUUGCCAGCAACCUGAGUGUGCCCUCCAUUGGUGUAGUCGCUUAUGCUGACUCAAUCCACGCUUUUAGAACCGGACAUUCAUCUCACUUAAAAGACAGCAAAUAACAGGAAGAAAUUGCUUCCUAAACCUUCUCUUGGGUGUUUCCAAUUUAUACAAGAGCUGCUUCUGUGCAGCUGUGUUCCACCCUGACCUGAAUAAUUUGUCUUGAAUGCUUGCCCUCAACCAAGACAGUAAGGCCACUCCCAUUUCCUAGGCAGAGUCUAAUCCACCACCUAGGAAAAGCUAACUUGCUCUUUAGAAGGUAUGAACUACUUUCUGGUUGAAUCCCUUUAUACUAUUUUGUCAAAAGCAGGUGGAACAGUGGAUUUAUACAUGAAAAUACUGAAGAAUAUGGAGGAAAGACCAGCAGAAUAGAGGACAAACUCUCCAGAAUGCAAAGUUCCACAAUAAUUGGAAACUGAGGGGAAAGAGGGGAAGGAACCCUCCCAAAGAAAAUCGUCACAAAGGCAAAAGAUCAGUAAUCCCCAAAAACCAUAGGAAUAAGCCCAGACCUGAAAGCCACUGAAAAAGAGGAAUCAGUAUGAAAAAAAUGGAAGCGUAUGAGAGAGGGGGAAGUGAACUACAUUUGAUGCAGUGGCUGGCAUUUGGAAAGAGAUGCAGCAUUUACAGGAGUAAAAUUAAUUUUAAAAAAACUUAGGAGAUAAAAGCAACCAGCAAAGCA